rnacentral:lncRNA from 1 species
UUUUUUGUUUGUGUUUGAGCUACUGAUUCACUGUUUUUAUAUACAAAUUUUAGAUCCCGCAUUUCUUUCGAUCUGCUGUGUGUGGAAAGGUCCACAUUGACGGUCCCGGUAAGGCCUAUUACAACUUCUUUGUUAUCAGAAAAGGACAACGUCAGUGUCACCUCCUGUCCUUCCUCUGCCCACAGAUCUGCGUGUGGUUUUCUCUUGGAAAGACAUAACCUAGUUCCCAGCCCCACAGGAUGCUGGCACCCCUGAGAAGGACACUGGGGAUCAAACAGCCUGGCUGUCUGCGUUAUACAUGUGGGGAAGUGACAAACUGAAGCAAAGGGACACUGUCAUGUUAAAUGUUUGGAUGGGCUUUGUACUUCCUUUGCCUUUCUUGAGGUAUGCUUUUAUUGUUAUCAUUUUUAUGGUUUAAAAAGAUCUGAAUUAAAGAAAAAAGGGUCUGAACCAGAGCAGAAUUUGCUCUGCUCAAAAUUGGUGCAGAAGGCAGCAAGAUUUCUUUCUUAUGCUCUGCAAACCAGGGAGCUACUAACUCCAAAGUGGGAGGAAAUCUAUCCACAUCCAAUGCCAACUACAAAUAGUGGCCCUCAUUCCUGGAAACAGGCUUCAAAUUGGACCCUGAUGACACCAAAUGAAAAGGAUGCAAAAAUAGUUGAAGUGAAAGCUUCCUUUGUGCACACCUGUGCAAGUCUUUGAUAUUCUCUUGAGUGAUAAUGUCUCCAAGGAACAAAUUUUGGCAUUAAAUUAAAU